GCCGCCUUAGCCCACGUUGGUAGAGGCAGCAGUUUCAAACGCUGUUCAGGGCCGGUUCGACGCCGGCAGGCGGCACCA
rnacentral:tRNA from 1 species